GACAGAGGGGGCAAGCGUUGCUCGGAAUUACUGGGCGUAAAGGGCGCGUAGGCGGGAUGGCAAGUCGGUCGUGAAAUCCCUCGGCUCAACCGAGGAACGUCGAUCGAUACUGCUGUUCUUGAGGAUUGCAGAGGAGACUGGAAUUCCCGGUGUAGCGGUGAAAUGUGUAGAGAUCGGGAGGAACACCGGUGGCGAAGGCGGGUCUCUGGGCAAUUCCUGACGCUGAGGCACGAAGGUCAGGGGAGCAAACGGG
rnacentral:rRNA from 1 species